rnacentral:rRNA from 1 species
CGGCACGGGUGCGUAACGCGUAUGCAACCUACCAUCAACAGGGGGAUAACACUGAGAAAUUGGUACUAAUACCCCAUAAUAUCUCAUGCGGCAUCGCAUGGGGUUGAAAACUCCGGUGGUUGAUGAUGGGCAUGCGUUGUAUUAGCUGGUUGGUGAGGUAACGGCUCACCAAGGCGACGAUACAUAGGGGGACUGAGAGGUCAACCCCCCACAUUGGUACUGAGACACGGACCAAACUCCUACGGAAGGCAGCAG